rnacentral:lncRNA from 1 species
GAUGAUCUCUUCAAUUUAGUGGCUCCUUUCCUAGGUCCUAGGCUCCUGGCACCUGCAAACCCUGGUGGUGAAGGAGGUGCACCUCCUUUUCCCAUUGGCAUGGGUGGAGGUGGUGCUGGCAUUCUUCCGUUUGAAGUCAUUGGUGGAGGUGGGGGUGCAGGUGCCAUACCCUUUGAUCCCAUGGGCGGAGGGGGUGGAGGAGGGGCAGUAAACUUUGAUCCCAUGGGAGGUGGGGGUGGAGGUGGAACUGAUUUAACAUUUCCCGAUGUCAUGGGAGGUGGUGGGGGUGGAGGAGGUGCCACUUCUUUUCCUGAUGUCAUGGGA